AAAUAUGUGGCUCAUACAGCCUCAGCACGUUGUAGUCACUCUCACUCUGUUUCAGUUGCAUUAUUGUUGGCUUGGGGUUUCUCUCAGCUGCAAUGUGUUCUCUAAUUGCCAAGCUCUAUUCCCUUCCUCUCUCACUCUCCAUUGUUUCCUCAUCUUCAUCUUCCUCUUCCUCUUCCUCUUCCUCUAAAGAUGGAAAACCCAACUCAAAGUCAUUGAAGCUGAGAGAGGACUGGAGGCAACGCUCCAGACCCAUUCCUCCUGGUGGCACUUAUCCGGCUAAAGACCACUGCAGUCGUUGCGGGUUGUGCGACACAUAUUACAUUGCCCAUGUCAAGGAAGCCUGUGCUUUCUUAGGAGAUGGAAUGUCUAAGAUUGAAGGCUUGGAACCUGUAGUUCAUGGUAGAGGGAGAAAAACAGGUUCCUCAGAUGAAAUGUACUUGGGUGUCUAUGAGGAGUUGUUGUAUGCUCGUAAAGUGAUCCCUGUUGAAGGAGCUCAGUGGACAGGAAUAGUAACAACUAUUGCAAUAGAAAUGCUAAAAUCAGGCAUGGUAGAAGCCGUAAUUUGUGUACAGAGCGACCCAAACGACAGAUUUACUGCACGGCCUGUAUUAGCAAGGACACCAGAGGAAGUUUUAGCUGCUAAAGGUGUCAAGCCGACAUUAUCUCCUAAUCUUAAUACCCUUGCCCUAGUUGAGGCUGCAGGUGUAAAGAAACUUCUAUUCUGUGGUGUGGGUUGCCAGGUGCAAGCAUUACGAUCUGUGGAGCACCAUUUAAAUUUGGACAAGCUCUAUGUGUUAGGCACAAAUUGUGUGGACAAUGGGACUCGAGAAGGGCUUGAUAAGUUUUUAAAGGCUGCAAGUAGUGAACCGGAGACAGUUCUUCAUUAUGAGUUUAUGCAAGAUUACAAGGUUCACUUGAAGCAUUUGGAUGGUCAUAUUGAAGAGGUUCCAUAUUUCUCUCUGCCAGCAAAUGAGUUGGUUGAUGUAAUUGCUCCUUCUUGUUAUAGUUGUUUCGAUUAUACCAAUGGUUUAGCGGAUUUAGUUGUGGGAUACAUGGGUGUGCCAAAAUAUUCUGGAAUCAGCAUGACUCAACAUCCACAGUAUGUUACGGUAAGAAAUGAACGUGGAAGAGAGAUGCUCAGUCUGGUUGAUAAUCUUUUGGAGGUUACUCCAACAACUAGCAGUGGCAAUCGCCAACCAUUUGUCAUGGAGACUGUUAAGGCAGAUGAUAAUGCAAAGUUGGGAAAGGGUCCUGAACCUGCCCCAAAGUUUGUUGGCAAUGUGAUUGCUUUCUUGCUAAACUUGAUUGGCCCAAAGGGUCUGGAAUUUGCUCGUUAUUCACUCGAUUACCAUACCAUCAGGAACUACCUGUAUGUAAACCGAAUAUGGGGAAAACAAAGAGCUGAUCAGCAUAUGCCUUCAUAUGCAAAGAAGAUUGUGGAUACCUACAAUAAGAAUGGUGAAAUCGAUCGGAUUCUUACCAACAAGUGACUGCAUUAGCUGUUGAAAUGCAGAUGAUAAAGAGGGCACUUCAAUGUACACCGAAUGUAAUUGAUUCCAAGCCAAGAAUUCUUCUGUUGAAGUCAAAUUGGUGAUGGAAAGCUUCUGCUCAUCUAAGGAGGAAAGUUAAAUAAGAUAAAAUGAAUUCAAGGAAAAUUGGAUUGUAAAUUGUAACACCAUUUCUGUAACGUCAAAACUUUGGCUGAGACUAAAUUUUGGAAGAACAAACAGUUUAAUGUACAGUUUUUCUUGGAGGUAGGAAUUAUUAGACUUGUUAUUUUUCA